CGCACGGGUGAGUAAUAUAUAGCUAACUUGCCCAUUACUAAGGGACAACAGUUGGAAACGACUGCUAAUACCUUAUACUCCGUAUCUAUAUAAGUAGGUACGGGAAAGUUUUUCGGUAAUGGAUAGGGCUAUAUCGUAUCAGCUAGUUGGUAAGGUAACGGCUUACCAAGGCUAUGACGCGUAACUGGUCUGAGAGGAUGAUCAGUCACACUGGAACUGAGACACGGUCCAGACUCCUACGGGAGGCAGCAGUAGGGAAUAUUGCUCAAUGGGGGAAACCCUGAAGCAGCAACGCCGCGUGGAGGAUGACACUUUUCGGAGCGUAAACUCCUUUUCUUGGGAAAGAAUUAUGACGGUACCCAAGGAAUAAGCACCGGCUAACUCCGUGCCAGCAGCCGCGGUAAUACGGAGGGUGCAAGCGUUACUCGGAAUCACUGGGCGUAAAGGACGCGUAGGCGGAUUAUCAAGUCUCUUGUGAAAUCUAACGGCUUAACCGUUAAACUGCUUGGGAAACUGAUAAUCUAGAGUAAGGGAGAGGCAGAUGGAAUUCUUGGUGUAGGGG
rnacentral:rRNA from 1 species